rnacentral:rRNA from 1 species
CACGAAGGGGGCUAGCGUUGCUCGGAAUCACUGGGCGUAAAGCGCACGUAGGCGGCUUCUUAAGUCAGGGGUGAAAUCCUGGAGCUCAACUCCAGAACUGCCUUUGAUACUGGGAAGCUCGAGUCCGGGAGAGGUGAGUGGAACUCCGAGUGUAGAGGUGAAAUUCGUAGAUAUUCGGAAGAACACCAAUAACGGCGAAGGCAGUUAUCUAUUCUGUUACUGACAUUGAGGCACGAAAGCGUGGGGAGCAAAACGG